CAAGUCGAGCGGAUGAGAGGAGCUUGCUCCUGGAUUCAGCGGCGGACGGGUGAGUAAUGCCUAGGAAUCUGCCUGGUAGUGGGGGACAACGUUUCGAAAGGAACGCUAAUACCGCAUACGUCCUACGGGAGAAAGCAGGGGACCUUCGGGCCUUGCGCUAUCAGAUGAGCCUAGGUCGGAUUAGCUAGUUGGUGAGGUAAUGGCUCACCAAGGCGACGAUCCGUAACUGGUCUGAGAGGAUGAUCAGUCACACUGGAACUGAGACACGGUCCAGACUCCUACGGGAGGCAGCAGUGGGGAAUAUUGGACAAUGGGCGAAAGCCUGAUCCAGCCAUGCCGCGUGUGUGAAGAAGGUCUUCGGAUUGUAAAGCACUUUAAGUUGGGAGGAAGGGUUGUAGAUUAAUACUCUGCGAUUUUGACGUUACCGACAGAAUAAGCACCGGCUAACUCUGUGCCAGCAGCCGCGGUAAUACAGAGGGUGCAAGCGUUAAUCGGAAUUACUGGGCGUAAAGCGCGCGUAGGUGGUUUGUUAAGUUGGAUGUGAAAUCCCCGGGCUCAACCUGGGAACUGCAUCCAAAACUGGCAAGCUAGAGUAUGGUA
rnacentral:rRNA from 1 species